rnacentral:lncRNA from 1 species
AACAGCUCUCAGGUUUCUGCUGAUACUGCAGCGUCAAGACAUGGCUCGAGUUUGCUCCUCUCUCUUACGUAUUCAGCAGUCCAUUUGCUCCUGCCACACGCGUCCAUCUCCUGCCUCCUGCUGCUGCUGCCGUUGGGACGAGCCAAGAGCCACUCCGGAGAUGCGGUUGCGGGACUGCGGCUCUCUCACGAUUCUCCAGCCGACGCUGUCCAGCGCCCGGCUCCUUCUCCAGAUAUCUUAAAGGAAGAGACCGGGAGAGCCAGCAGAUACUUAGGACAGCCUUUUUUUUGUUUAUUAAUUCAAGCCUUCGGAAAAAGACACUUUGCGCGCUCUUCCACCCGCCGACUCCCUCACUGCGGUUUUCAGCAGAAACUACUUAAACCCACUCGCCCUUGGUGCAGCCUGAGUAUUCUUUUGGAUGGUGCUGCAAGACGGCUUGUCGCAUUCUGGCACUGGCUCCUAUUCCUAACCAGCGCAUCUCACACAGAGCAGGUAAGGAAAAGCCCCUUCUGUCCCCCAGCUCUUGGACCCUAAUUUGACAGUUUGGGUCUGGAAUGUCAAAAUUCAUUCCUAUGUCUCCGUCUCAGUUGUAUGUAGCUGCUGCAAAGCAGAGGGGAGAUGCUUCACUCCUUCUCCCCAUAUCCCUUCAGUCUCUGUGAUGAAGUUGUCAGUGCUCAGCUAAGUCUCCACCAUCUGCAAAGUGGGAUGCAUGGUGGUCAGGAAACUUACAGCAGGAGCUGAUCCCAGGGAAGUUGCAUGCAUUCGCAGUGAUGAUCAAGUUGGCAAGAAAAGUGGCUGGAUCGAGUUAAAGGCGAAAGGAGACAGCUGGGGAGGGGACCCCAGCCAGGAGGUGCACCCCAUACACCCUGGCCUGGGGGGACAGGAUCCUUCGCCUUACCUGCCCUCUGCCCUCACCCCCCGAAGGUACUUAUCUCUUUCUUUACUGUCCCUUCAUUCCUUAUGCCACUUCCUGUAUCCCACCUUUUCUUUUCCCUUGUGGAUACUUCCAGCCUUUAGGCUUCUCUUCCAGUCCUUCCUCAGGCUUCUCCAUUCCCACUCAUCCUGCAGUCUCCAAGCCUACCUCCACACCCUGCCUCCUACCAUCCUCCACUGAAUUGCCCUUGCACUU